UUUAAGUGGAACCAUAAGUUUUCACGCCCAACUUUGAUCGUCCGUUCUUAUUUAAAAUUUUUUUAUAACUAGUAUUUUAUUGUUAUGAGAUGAUAAAGUAUAAAUAAUACUUUACUCAUGACUUAUGUUUUUAAACUUUUUCAAAAAAUAUUCUAAUAAGACGGACGGUCAAAAGUUAGGCGCGGAAAACCAUAGCUGCACUUAAA
rfam:Oryza meridionalis cultivar OR44 (W2112) chromosome 4, whole genome shotgun sequence.